UCAGGAUGAACGCUGGCGGCGUGCUUAACACAUGCAAGUCGAACGGAGUUAGAUGAAACCUAGUGAUUCUAAACUUAGUGGCGGACGGGUGAGUAACGCGUGGGUAACCUGCCAUAUACAGGGGGAUAACACUUAGAAAUAGGUGCUAAUACCGCAUAAGCGCACAGGACCGCAUGGUCUGGUGUGAAAAACUCCGGUGGUAUAUGAUGGACCCGCGUCUGAUUAGCUAGUUGGUGAGGUAACGGCCCACCAAGGCGACGAUCAGUAGCCGGCCUGAGAGGGUGAACGGCCACAUUGGGACUGAGACACGGCCCAAACUCCUACGGGAGGCAGCAGUGGGGAAUAUUGCACAAUGGGGGAAACCCUGAUGCAAGCGACGCCGCGUGAGUGAAGAAGUAUUUCGGUAUGUAAAGCUCUAUCAGCAGGAAAGAAAAUGACGGUACCUGACUAAGAAGCCCCGGCUAACUACGUGCCAGCAGCCGC
rnacentral:rRNA from 1 species